rnacentral:pre_miRNA from 1 species
AAGUUUAUAUGUUGCGUAGGUAUUGUGCACAGGUAUUUUUUAACUCUGUGAAUUCUACCUAGGUAGCAUUUAGAUUU